rnacentral:tRNA from 1 species
UCCCUGCAGGACUAGUGGUUAGUCCACAGCGCUCUCACUGCUGCAGCCCGGGUUCGACUCCGGCCAGGGAA